CGGGGUGUUGCGCAGUUGGUAGCGCGCAUGGUUCGGGACCAUGAGGUCGCACGUUCAAAUCGUGUCACUCCGA
rnacentral:tRNA from 1 species